UACGGAGGGUGCAAGCGUUAUCCGGAUUCACUGGGUUUAAAGGGUGCGUAGGUGGGUCUGUAAGUCAGUGGUGAAAUCUCCGGGCUUAACUCGGAAACUGCCAUUGAUACUAUAGGUCUUGAAUUUUCUGGAGGUUAGCGGAAUAUGUCAUGUAGCGGUGAAAUGCUUAGAGAUGACAUAGAAUACCGAUUGCGAAGGCAGCUUACUACACAGAUAUUGACGCUCAUGCACGAAAGCGUGGGGAUCAAACAGG
rnacentral:rRNA from 1 species